AGCUAGGGGAGCGAACAGGAUUAGAGACCCUGGUAGUCCUAGCCCUGGACGAUGGAUGCCGUGAUCUGGGGCCAUAGCGCUCCAGUGUUGAAGCGAACGCGUUAAGCAUCCCGCCUGGGGGAUUACGUGCCGCAAUGGCUAAAACUCCAAACGGUAGAGUGUACGGGACCCCAGCACUAAGCAGCGGAGCGUGUGGCUUAAUUCGAUGCUACACGAAGAACACUUACCUGGGUUUGACAUUUAGGUGGUAGCGACGUGAAAGCGGAGGGACCCUUCGGGGAGCCUAGACAGGUGGUGCAUGGCAGUCGUCAGCUAGUGCCGUGAGGUGUCGGGUUAAGUCCCGUAACGAGCUCAACCCUUGCCCUCCGUUAUAAGUGUCAGAGGGGACUCCUCGCCGUUAAACUCGGAGGCAAGGUGGGGAGGUACCUCUAGUCAGGCAUGGUCCUUUAUAGUCCCAGGGUUACAUACACUGGUACGAUGGCCAGUACAAAGGGCAGCGACGCCGUGAGCUGGAGCGAUAUCUCCCACAGAGCUGGUUCUAGUUCGGAAUUCCAGGCUGCAUACCAGCCUGCAUGAGAGAUGGAGUUGCUAGUAACUAGCGCGUCAGACCAUAGUCCGGUGAAUUACGUUCCCGGGGUUUGUACACACCAGCCCGUCAUGAUCAUGGGAGUCGAUACGCUCAUGAAGCCGAUGGCGAUAGCUCGCAAGAGAGGGCG
rnacentral:rRNA from 1 species